ACACCCAGUUUGAAGUGGAGGUGAUAGGGAGUUGGUGGGCAAGCGGGAGAAUAGAUUUGCUGAUCAGCUGGCGGAGAAGACGGAUGCAUGGUAGCUCUGGCAGUAUGCAUUGCCACCUGCAUGGCUUGACUUGGUGUAGCUCAUUAUCAAGCUGGUGGUGGAGGGGGGACAUUGCUAAAUUCCAUGGGAUCUGUGCUACGGGAUUCCAUCUCGUCCCCCCUUGGUUUUUCAGGGCUGAGAACCUUCUAGCUAUCCAGGUGUUGCCAAACUCCAAACACUUCCCAAACCCACAUUCCUGACUUGACAAUGCUGGCUGGGACUGAAGGGAGUUGGAAUGCUACAUUGCCUAGUGGGCCACUCGAAGCUGUAUACAACUGCUAACUGAGGUCACCUGGGAGUUUGUAGCAAAGUGUCAUCGAUAUGCAAAUGACACCCAACUCCCUUUCAUCCAAUUCAGGUGAGACAGAUUGGGUAAACCAGCGUCUGGGUGUGUUAGUGAAGUGGAUGAGGGCCAGUAAACUGAAAUAGAAUGCAGAUGCAAUGAUAGUCCUUUUGGUGGGUGGUUCAUCUACAUGGGUUCGUGGUGGUCCACUUCUCUGAAGGGACGUGAUCACAGUCUAUAGAGUUGCUUGUGGAUCUAUCUUUGCCACUGGAAGUACCAAUCUGUGAUCCUCUCUGGACCAAGAGAGCAGGGAAUACUGAUCUAUAAACUGGUUACCUUCAGAUUAUAUACAGUACUGCCUUUGAAGAGCAUUUGGAAACUGCAGUUAGUCCAAAACAAAAACAUUUGGGGUCUACGUAAAUAUUCAAGUCAAUUAAAUUACUACUGUUUAGCUGUUAACUCAAUUUUACUAAGUAAACAAGUUACAAGUAUAGUAUGUCCUAAAGCAGAUAUAAAUCAAGCAUCAACAUUGUGGUCUUUCUUUUGUUUGUUAACAAAACCUUCAGAUUUCUUUCUUUCUUUUGCAAAAGCUGAUGCUCAGCUGAGAGUAGCGCAAGUGAAGAUUGUAAUUUCUUGUCAUUUCUCGACCGUUAAAAGCAUUCUAGAAGCAGCUUAAAAAUAUUGAUUUCAUCCAGAAUUCUCAGGGCUGCCAUGAACAACAAUAUUCUCCAGUAAGUCCGUCUUUGUUGUUGAUUUUUGUGCAAAAAGUGGCAUACGAAUAAAACGAACG